GAAAGACAAUCUGGCAAUGGCGCAUGGACGAGACGCUGUUGGCCCCCUUCCUCCUCUCUUUCUCUCACUCGUCGGCUGUGUGUGUAGACUGACUUGUGUUUUGUGUGCGCGCUCGUCGUAUCUCAGUGGAUGUUGAAACAGCCGCGGUCCCGCUCCAACGAAGACCCGUUUUUUUUUCCUAACAACAACACAUAUAUUAUUUCUUACAAAGCAAAGAAUCAUCCAUUUCCAAGUACCUAAGUCAUUCUGGUGUGUCGUGUUCCUCCAUAGUUUUUUUUUUGGCACCGAUCGUUUUCCCUCCCCUCCAUCUAUAUCCUCCAUUUUCCCUUUUUUUUUUAUAACUCGUGUGCAAUCGUGGUGUGUGUGUCUCUGUGCGUUGCCUCGACGUAUAUUUUCGCACUGCCGCCUCCAUCAUAUAAGCUUUGCUGCCGCUCGCCCCGCUGUCGCAGCAGAAGUGAUGUGGUGACCAUGGCCUUGCAAAUGUCGCCUGUUGAUGCUCAUACUGAAAAUCAGCCUCCGUGUUAUUAUCAGCCUGCAGUGCUGCUGCCUGAAGCUGCUGCAGGAACGAGCAGUCAUCAAGUUGAGCCCUUUCAGUGCCAACUUUUGGAGUGCUCCUCUGCUGAACAAGUGCCUCUUCCUACUAACCCUGUGCCACCAAAUUUAAGGAAAGUCGAACAAAGGGUGACUGCUGUGAGGAAGGAGGGUGCUGUUGUUGAGGAAGUGAUGGAUGCCUCAUUGCUCGUAGAGAGCAGUGAAGUGAGGCGUGGUCCAGAGGCUGAGGAUUUGAGAGGAGGAGCUGCUUCUGAAAUUCUCACCCUGCUGGAAGUUUCCCAAUCAUCUGUGAUAGACAGCUCCAACGUCGGUUCAUCCUCGGAGGGAUCGACAAACCCAGGCACGCACGAAUCCCUUAGCAACCCACCAUCUCCCUGUCUGGUCGAUAAAGUCGAGCAGAUAGGAUCAGCGGCCGCCAUUUCUUCCUCAAGCAAUAGUCUUAACGAUGCACAAAAGGAUUCGGGCGACGCAAUGAGGCAAAGCGGGUCGGCUUGGCGAUCGUGGAGCUCUAAUCAAUCGACUAUGACAUUCUCAGGAGAGACGAAUCCUCCAAGUGCAACUUAUGCCGAUUCUGUUGUGUGCCCUCUGUCGACCUCUGCUCACUCCACCCUCGUCUCUUCUGCCUCUGCCGACUCUGAUGAAGACUAUUGUGAUAGCAAGGAACCACUGAUCAUCAAGGGAAGCAGUCGCAGUAGUAGCACAUCGGUGUUCCUCCAAUAUCCCCCGAUCGGGCCGGCUUCCAACCGGCAUUGGGGCAUUCCUCAAGGAGCGGGUUUGCGCGGAGGUGCUGGCGAGACCUCCUUGAACAAUGGAGGAGGCAGCUGGGGUCAUCCGCCAGCUAGUGGAAGUUGGGGAGGCGGUGGAACCAACAACGCGGCGAACCAAGUCCAAGGCCAAUGGGGAGCAGCAUCCUCCACGGCCAACCAACGGAGCUCCGCAGCUAGUCAGGGACCAUCUGGAGCGCCGCCUCCUGGAUCCUCGGGACCGCAAGUUUCCAAUCAGCAGCUACCGACCGGUGCCCAACAACAGCAGCAACCUCAAGGAGCCUGGGAUACGACCAAGAAUGUCGUCACUGGCAAUGUCGUUCAACCAUCUGGAAGCUCGCCAAGCCAGGGUGUAUGGGCUGCUCAGGCUGCCAAAAACGUACCUAAUCAACCGACCAAUACCAACCCUAAUCAAGACAUAAUGGCUGCCAACCCCUUGAACUUACCUCAAGGUGGAAACGGUGGUGGAGGAGCCGUGGGAGGUUCUGGUCCUGCCACUCCUAGUUCUGGCAAACCGGAUCCUUUGGCUAACUACCGAGAUGUGAUUUACGCCCAGGACGGCUGGGGAGGCAACCAGGUGAAUCAAGACUCUCAAUGGGAUGUACCAACAUCACCAGAGCCAAAAGAAAUUCCGCUAUGGAAGCAAACUGCAAGCAAUGGAACCGAAGUCUGGGAAGUCAAUCUGCGCAACGGCGGCCAAGCCCCUCCGCCCAUCACUCAGACCAAGACACCAUGGGGAAGUCACACUCCUGCCACCAAUUUGGGAGGCACUUGGGGUGAAGAUGACGAAUCGUCGGAACCAUCCAGCAUGUGGACGGGUGUUCCGGCUAACAAUGGACCUACAAAUUGGGGAGCUAAUCCCAUGGGAGGUGCUCUGAACGCCGGACCAAUGGGCCCAACGUCAGUCCCAACUGGUGCUUCUGCCAUGGGUACGACUGGAAUUGCAUCGGGUAACGGCAUGUGGGGUGGACAGCAGCAGCAGCAACAACAACAACAGCAGCAGCAGCAGCAACAACAACAGCCACAGAAAAAAGAGCCGGAGUGGGCUCCAGCCAGUUCAAUGCAAACUGGACCUGGUGGAUGGGGCGAAGUUCGUCCACCUCAACGCAUGGCUAUGUCUGGUAUCGGACCAUCUGUCCCCGAAAAUAUGAUGGCACCUUCUGCACCAUCUCACUGGCCUGGACCGCAAAACAAACCAGCGCCGCAAUGGAGUGGAAAUGUACCUACGAAGGAGAUGAAACCAACAGGGUGGGAUGAGCAUUCACCUCCUGCUCAGAAACGACAGGUGCCACAAUAUGACGACGGAACGGCCGUUUGGGGUAACCCAGCCCAAAUUCAACAGCCUGGUGGAUCAGUCGUCUGUCGCUGGAAAGAUAUGCCCAACCCUAAUGUGGCUGGCGGGCGUGGAAUGCAACAAUCUGGCCCGCCUCCCAACCGAAUGCCACCAGGACCGGGAAUGAAAACGGACAUGUCCUGGGGUCAAGCUCGUAACGGCUCCUGGGGAGAAGGAGGCGUAGGUGACAACAGUCAAAUGAACAACAUGUGGAUGGAUGACAAACCUGUAGGUGGUGGCUCAUGGAACGAGCCUCCUCAAACACCUACACCUUGGGCUGCUGGACCCAAACCAAAAACUCCCACAACUCCAAGUUGGGGUGAGAGUGAAGACAACUUGUCGUGGGGUCAGCCACAUAAGCAGGUUCCUAAACCUUUGGCCAAGGAAAUGAUAUGGAGCAGCAAGCAAUUCCGCAUCUUAUCCGAAAUGGGUUUCAAGAAAGAAGAUGUGGAGAAUGUCCUACGCAAUUGCAACAUGGUGAUGGAAGAUGCCCUGGAAACCCUGCGCUCUGGUCGUGGGAUGUUUGGAGAUGACCAUGGCUCGGGUGGUUACGAUCCAAUGGGACCGCACGGAGGAGCGCCUUAUCCUCCGGGCGCUCGAUUCAAUCCCGGUCAACAAAUGCCUUUUGUUCACCCUGGAAGUGGUGGUGCACCUCAUCACUUAUUGAACAAUCCUGCUCCUAGCAUGGGAAUGAACCCUAAUCCUGCAUACAAAAUUCUUCAGCCUCAGCAACCGCCACCAAUGCCGCCUCAGGUCAAUCAAUCACAAAUGGUCCGGAACAUGUCGCGAGUGGACACUGGCGUUUCGUCUGGUGCAGGAGCCGGUAGUCAACCUUCGCCGACUCAGUUACGAAUUCUCGUUCAGCAAAUCCAAAUGGCUGUACAGGCUGGUCAUUUGAAUCCCCAAAUUCUCAAUCAGCCACUGGCUCCUCAGACGCUGGUGCUGCUCAAUCAGUUGCUACAACAGAUCAAAGUACUUCAGCAGCUUGGUCAACAGCACAAUAUGGCUCUUAGUAGGCCGGGACAAGGCCCUAUGGGGGGUCCCAUGAUGCAGCUCGUACCUCAAAUGAACAAAACCAAACAGCAGAUUGCCAGCUUGCAACAGCAGAUCGCCGCCCAACAGGCUCUGUAUGUCAAGCAACAAGGCCAAAUGAUGAAUCAACAGCCGCCCGGGGCUCCACCGAGCCAACCAUCUGAUCUAUUCAAAGUGGAUUCUGUUCACGGCAUUCAGUCCAAUUUGGACAGGAUGAGUUUACAGGAUUCUGGACAAUCUCGGCUCUCUCAGUGGAAGUACCCGCCACUCGACAAGGAUCUUUCUGAUCUAGGCAUGUCGGAAUUCAGUCGUGCACCCGGGAGCAGUGGUGGAGCUCCGGGUUCAAUUCCCAGCAACGCUAAACCGCCACUAGGUAGCAGCCUUUCUUCUCCCAACAUGAAUCCAGUCCUCGGUCAAGACGGCGGUGCUUGGUCGAGUCUUUCGCGCUCUCAGUCCGAGACUGGCUGGCCUGACACCAAUCAGGAUUUGUCAGCUCCGGGAUCGGUGGGAGGCAACGAUGGAAAGGAUAGUUGGAGCAGUGCUGCCGGAACCUCUUCAUAUUCUGGUUCCAUAUCGGAUCUCGUUCCCGAGUUCGAGCCUGGCAAACCAUGGAAGGGACCACAGAUCAAAACGGCAGAUGACGAUCCAACUCUCACUCCCGGAACUUUUGCCAUGUCUGGUCUGAAUGAGGCCGACGUUUACUCAAACAACGCAUCAAAAGGAGGACAGAGCUCAACCAAAGCUUCACCUCCUCCUGUGGGAAGUGGUGGAACAAGCUCCUCGAAUGAAUCGGGCUUCCCCACCCUGGGUCUUUCUAAUUCCACCUGGUCUUUCAAUCCGUCUUCGGCGUCGUCGAGUUCCGUCCCGUCCACGUCGACUCCUUACAGUUCUGCCAAGAUAGCACCAAAAUCGUCUUGGUCUGACGCCCCGCCGCCAUCUGCGGACCCGUGGAGCGCACCAAACAAGCCUCGUGGUCCGCCGCCAGGCAUCACCCCUUCGGUAGGCGUCGGCCCAAAGACUGCCGGCCGCGACUGGAGUGCAGCAGGCAGCCGCUCACCUUGGCCUGGAACUAAUACUGCCGGCUCUGGAGGCACGUGGGCCGGUUCUCUCAAUGGUUCGUCGUCGUGGCUCGUGUUACGUAACUUGACCCCGCAGAUCGAUGGCUCGACGCUCAAAACAUUGUGCGUCCAGCACGGUCCACUUCAUAACUUCCAUCUCUACCUCAACCAUGGAGUUGCUUUAAUUCGUUAUUCUACUGGCGAAGAAGCUGCCAAGGCCCAAAGUGCUUUGAACAACUGCGUGCUCGGAAACACGACGAUUUAUGCAGAUCUAGCCAACGAAUCUGAUGUGCAGGGCUGGCUGCAACAGCUUGGCAUGCCCGCCCAACAGCAGCAACAACAGCAGCAGCAACAAAAUCAACAACAGCAACAGCAAGCUGUUUCCUCCAGUGGGUGGGGCGUCAGGGGCUCUACUCCUGGCGCCGGUUCCAACAGCGGAAGCGGCAACGGAGGUGGUGUAGGAAGCAACGCCUCAAAGGGAAGUGCCAACGCCGGAGAUAAUUGGGGAUCUGGUGCCGGUGGUCCUAGUUCGAGCCCAUGGUCGACGGGUCCCAAUUCAGUCUGGUCUACUCCGAACUUGGAUCGUGAUUUGAGAACCACGCCGUCAUCGCUGAACGCAUCGCUCAACUCGUUUCUGCCUGGCGAUCUCCUGGGCAACGAGUCCAUGUAAAAGUGAGGAUACAAACACACGUGACUCAAAAACAAAGCAAAAGAGAAUCGACAAAAUUACGUGUCAAUUUGAGAAUAGAUGAGAGAAGAGAAAAAUACCAAGAUUUGAAGCCGAUCAGCAGAAUUAACUUCGUAUCCUUUGGGCAGCUUUCUUUUCUCUCCCUACCUUUACCUCUCCUCCCUUUUACCCUCCCGUCUGUAUUUUGGUUUGGACUUGAAGAAAAAUUUGAGAUUUUUUUCCUAAUUAUUAUUUUUUUCCCCCUCGUCCUCCUUUGCUUGUGUUGUAAUAGCCAUUUUCUUUUGUUUUUCUCCAUCUAUUCAUAAGAAUAAAUGACCUUGAUGAGACCUUU
rnacentral:misc_RNA from 1 species